rnacentral:rRNA from 1 species
GAUGAACGCUGGCGGCGUGCCUAAUACAUGCAAGUCGAGCGAACGGACGAGAAGCUUGCUUCUCUGAUGUUAGCGGCGGACGGGUGAGUAACACGUGGAUAACCUACCUAUAAGACUGGGAUAACUUCGGGAAACCGGAGCUAAUACCGGAUAAUAUUUUGAACCGCAUGGUUCAAAAGUGAAAGACGGUCUUGCUGUCACUUAUAGAUGGAUCCGCGCUGCAUUAGCUAGUUGGUAAGGUAACGGCUUACCAAGGCAACGAUGCAUAGCCGACCUGAGAGGGUGAUCGGCCACACUGGAACUGAGACACGGUCCAGACUCCUACGGGAGGCAGCAGUAGGGAAUCUUCCGCAAUGGGCGAAAGCCUGACGGAGCAACGCCGCGUGAGUGAUGAAGGUCUUCGGAUCGUAAAACACUGUUAUUAGGGAAGAACAUAUGUGUAAGUAACUGUGCACAUCUUGACGGUACCUAAUCAGAAAGCCACGGCUAACUACGUG